rnacentral:lncRNA from 1 species
AUAGACUGGUGGCUUAAACAAUAGUCAUUUAUUUUCUCCUGGCUCUGGAGGCUGGGAGAUCCAAGAUCAAGAUGAUGGCGAAUUAGGUUGUUAGUGAGGGUGCUCUUCCUGGCUUGCAGAAGGCUGUCUGCUCACUGUGUCGUCAUGUGACCACAGAGAGAGAGCAAGUCUGUUCUUAUGAAGACACCAAUCCUAUCAGAUUAGGGCCCCACCCUUAUGAUCUCAGUUAACCUUAAUUACUUCUAUAAAGGCCAGGUCUCCAAAUACAGUCACACGGGGAGCUAGGGCUUCAACCUAUGGCUUUUGGGGGAUACAGUUCAGUCCAUAGCAGUGGGGAAAGGAUGUGACUCAGUCUAGAGAGACUCAAGGAGGGAAUGCUUAGAUAGGAGCAUGGAGGGCGUGCCUGGUGAAGGGAACAGUAUGGCACAGCUUCAGAGGCAAGGGUGAGCCAGCAGCAAGGGGCUGGCUAUGGCCGGUACAAAAAGCAUGUGCUCGUGGGAAAUAGGCACCAAAGAAGGCCCAGAGAGGUUUAACAACUUCCUCAGAAUCACACAGCUUCCAAAUGGUUGGGUUGGGUUUACAUUUAGGCGGUCUUGCUCCAGAGCCAGUGCUCCUAACCUUUGCAAGCCACGAACCUCAAGAAAGUGGAGAAGGAAACGCUGGGAAAUCUGGAAGUCAGACAUGAGAGCUAAUGCUGGCAGCUGUUGGGAUGUCCUCUUCCAGGAAUGGUGAUGAGUUUCCCUGGAUCCAGCCCUGGCUUGGCUGAGAUGAUGAAGGUUUAAGAAGCAGCAUCAUCAGCGAACUGUGUUUUGAAGAUUUGAGGGAAGGGCUGACCUCAGGAUUUUAUACUAGUUGCUGACCUCCAUAACAGCAGACAAAAUUGGAAGCAAGAGUGAUUUUGGAGGAGUCACACUUAGAUGUUUCCCUUACCUAUUUCUGUUCUGGAAAUUUAAAAAUCUUACUUCUCGUGACAGUCCUACAUGAAAAAUUAAAAAUCACAAGGAUUCAUGGAUGGAAAA